UGUGUAUGUAUGCGCGUAGGAAACCCAAGGCAAAUCCUAAUCAUUUCUGUUUGUGAAGAUGACAGAUAGUUUAAAGGUUACGGGAUAAAGUUCAGGUGGUAAAUGCAAUAUAUAAAGGGUCCGUUCAUGCAUUACGUGAAAUAACUUAGAAGUCGUUCAAAAUGAUUUGGUGGAUAUUAACUGCGUUAUUGUUAGCAGGUAUGGCCAAUGGUCAGAAAAAACCCGACCAGUUUGACUGUUCUGGAUUACCCGAGGGCGUGGUCUGGUGGGGUUGCAGAGCGUUUGGUGAAUGUAGAGGAGGUACACAUAUCCAGACAGAUUGCCCAGAUGGUUACGCCUACAAUCAGCAAUCGGGUUGUACAGAG